UGACAUCUUGUUUCAAUUGGAAAUGAAAGUCAUUCCGGAUUCAUGUUAUUGCUGUUUAGUGAACAAGAAAUGGGUGGAUGAAGAUAUUGAAGAAGAUGUCGAAUUCGUUCACGAACGGCUAACGGAAAGUAUACAAGAUUUGAGGUAAUCAAAUGUCUUCUAAAUUUUUCAUCGUUU